rnacentral:rRNA from 1 species
AUACGAAGGGGGCUAGCGUUGUUCGGAAUUACUGGGCGUAAAGCGCGUGUAGGCGGAUCGUUAAGUCAGGGGUGAAAGCCCGGGGCUCAACCCCGGAACUGCCCUUGAUACUGGCGAUCUAGAGUCCGGAAGAGGUGGGCGGAAUUCCCGGGGUAGAGGUGAAAUUCGUAGAUAUCGGGAGGAACAACAGUGGCGAAGGCGGCUCACUGGUCCGGUACUGACGCUGAGACGCGAAAGCGUGGGGAGCAAACAGGAUUAGAAACCCUUGUAGUCC